GCCAGCGUAGUGCAGUGCUCUGAGCAUUAGGCUAAGACCCUGGGGACCAGGGUUCGAUUCCCACCUCAGCCA